rnacentral:rRNA from 1 species
AACGAACGCUGGCGGCAGGCUUAACACAUGCAAGUCGAGCGCCCCGCAAGGGGAGCGGCAGACGGGUGAGUAACGCGUGGGAAUCUACCCAUCUCUACGGAAUAACGCAUGGAAACGUGUGCUAAUACCGUAUACGUCCUUCGGGAGAAAGAUUUAUCGGAGAUGGAUGAGCCCGCGUUGGAUUAGCUAGUUGGUGGGGUAAAGGCCUACCAAGGCGACGAUCCAUAGCUGGUCUGAGAGGAUGAUCAGCCACACUGGAACUGAGACACGGCCCAGACUCCUCCGGGGGGCAGCAGUGGAGAAUAUUGCAGAAUGGGCGCAAGCCUGAGCCAGCCAUGCCGCGUGAGUGAUGAAGGCCCUAGAGUUGUAAAGCUCUUUCACCGGUGAAGAUAAUGACGGUAACCGGAGAAGAAGCCCUGGCUAACUUCGUGCCAGCCGCCGCGGUAAAAC